rnacentral:rRNA from 1 species
AACGAACGCUGGCGGCAGGCUUAACACAUGCAAGUCGAGCGCCCCGCCAGGGGAGCGGCAGACGGGUGAGUAACGCGUGGGAACGUACCUUUUGGUUCGGAACAACUCCGGGAAACUGGAGCUAAUACCGGAUAAGCCCUAACGGGGAAAGAUUUAUCGCCGAAAGAUCGGCCCGCGUCUGAUUAGCUCGUUGGUGAGGUAACGGCUCACCAAGGCGACGAUCUGUAGCUGGUCUGAGAGGAUGAUCAGCCACACUGGGACUGAGACACGGCCCAGACUCCUACGGGAUGCAGCAGUGGGUAAUAUUGGACAAUGGGCUCAAGCCUGAUCCAGCCAUGCCUCGUGAGUGAUGAAGGCCUUAGAGUUGUAAAGCUCUUUUGUCCGGGAAGAUAAUGACGGUACCGAAAGAAUAAGCCCCGGCUAACUUCGUG